rnacentral:lncRNA from 1 species
CUUAGAAUGGAGUAGACAGAAUGUGUAAGGAGUGGAAUAAGGAGGUGUGAGCCAUUUGGUGAAGGUCCUAAAUUUUAGUCUUCGGAUUUUGUAUUUGAACCUAGAGGUAAGAGACCUAAUUAAGCUUUUUGGAUCGGGGAGUGAAAUGGUCAUAUCUUUGUUUCAGGAUGGAGAGUUGAUUGGAGAAUGGAAAAACUAGGAAUGGAAGGUCAUUCUGGAAUCAAGAUGCCCUGAAGGCAACUCUGGACUGGGCAACAUGCUGGCAAUGGAACCAUCAACAUCCUGUCAAUGUUCUUAGGACUACUUUGAGGUCAUAAGUUACAGACCGCAUGAUAUAAGAAGAGGCGUGACUCUAGCAUCAGAGAAUCUGUGUUUAAAUUCUGCUUCUGAUAUCUUUGUGAUCUUGGGCGGUCUGUUCUACCACAGACUUCUCAGAGGGCAGGCGAGAAUCAAGUAAAACUUCUUGGGGCAGGGGCCCAGCAGCACAGUGCCCAUGGAAAUUCUUAUAAUCAGUGAUUACAGGAGUGAGCACAAGAAACUCAGCUUUCAGAAUAUCCAAAAAGCUACUGGUUGCUAGAUGAACUUUUAAGAUUACGUAAG